rnacentral:lncRNA from 1 species
UGGUGCCAUUAAAACAAAAUACAUAUAUGGUUUGGCGAUAUCUGGCCACAGCUUUUAUUCAUAAUAUGAUAGAUUCAUAUAAUAUAUAAUAUAUAUAUAUAGAUAUAGACAGAUAGACCAUAGAUGUAUAUGUAGAUAGAUCUAUGGUCGGUUACCCGAAGAUAAUAUGGCAACCAGAUAGAUAGAUAGAUAGAUAUAUAUGAAAAUGUAAAGAUGCACCGUGGGAUACACUGGUGCUUUAAAUUUAGAAAACACCGUGGGAUACACAAGUGUAGUCUGUAUUAUCCAAAAACCUAAAAUUUCAUAGUUAACAUUAAGAUUCUAUGCCACGUGUUCUAUGCAGCGAAUUCUGCCAUUUAUGGGAAUAUAUUUAUGAUGCUCAAAGUUCAAAUAAAAGUCACUUUUCUCAACAGCAAACAAGUUAACAUCAUCAGUCAAAUCUGUAUCACCACUGUCACCGACACAAACCUGAAAAAUAAAUACAAAAGAGCAGUAUCUUGUACAAUAAAAAGGAGUGGGAGGGUGGGUUUUCAAGUUUACCGCUUACGAAAUUUAAACAGCUUGCUUGCUGCGAUGAAAUUCUAAAAAGGACUAAGUGACGUCACAGAAUAUAACGUCACUCAUGUUGGGUAAAUCUAAAACAUGAAACACAAUCCGUGAGUGGCCCCGGCGAUAACUGAAUUUAAGUCUAUUAACUUAAAUUCCAUUAUUUCAGAUGGUGCCAUUAAAACAAAAUACAUAUAUGGUUUGGCGAUAUCUGGCCACAGCUUUUAUUCAUAAUAUGAUAGAUUCAUAUAAUAUAUAAUAUAUAUAUAUAUAUAUAUAGAUAGAUAGACCAUAGAUGUAUAUGUAUAUGUAGAUAGAUUUUCAAGUUUACUGCUUACGAAAUUUAAACAGCUUGCUUGCUGCGAUGAAAUUCUAAAAAGGACUAAAUGACGUCACAGAAUAUAACGUCACUCAUGUUGGGUAAAUCUAAAACAUGAAACACAAUCCGUGAGUGGCCCCGGCGAUAACUGAAUUUAAGUCUAUUAACUUAAAUUCCAUUAA